rnacentral:rRNA from 1 species
UUCCAGACUCCUACGGGAGGCAGCAGUGGGGAAUAUUGCACAAUGGGGGAAACCCUGAUGCAGCGACGCCGCGUGAGUGAAGAAGUCUUUCGGUAUGUAAAGCUCUAUCAGCAGGAAAGAAAAUGACGGUACCUGACUAAGAAGCCCCGGCUAACUACGUGCCAGCAGCCGCGGUAAUACGUAGGGGGCAAGCGUUGUCCGGAAUUACUGGGUGUAAAGGGAGCGUAGACGGUGAAGCAAGUCUGAAGUGAAAGGCGGGGGCUCAACCCCCGGACUGCUUUGGAAACUGUUUGACUGGAGUGCAGGAGAGGUAAGUGGAAUUCCUAGUGUAGCGGUGAAAUGCGUAGAUAUUAGGAGGAACACCAGUGGCGAAGGCGGCUUACUGGACUGUAACUGACGUUGAGGCUCGAAAGCGUGGGGAGCAAACAGGAUUAGAUACCCGGGUA